CUUGUGUCCCUUUAAAACUGCUUCAAUUCAAGGAAUACUAUUCUUCAAAGAUCCACUUAUUCUAUUUAUAAGUAGCAAUGAUUUUUUUGUAUAUGUGUUUACAGAAUAAAUAUCAGAGAGCACUUGCGCAAUGAUAUGGGAAAUACCGGGUGACGGUAGCCAAAACAAUCAAUAUAUUGCUCAGUAUAAAGAGAGUUUAUAACCCACGAAAACUAAUUUAAAAGUAAACUAUAUAUACAGUAGUGGAUCCAGGGGGAGGGAACCGGGGGUUGGCUUCCCGUUCUUGGAGGAUUAAUACAUUUGAAUGAGGACAUAUAGUUGGACGCCCCCCCCUUUUUUUGGUCCUAGGCUGGAUUCGCCCCUGAUAUGUAUUAAUGUUAUGUUGACAUAUCUUAAUUUGGAAAAGGUCUAAUGCAUUUUUUCAUUUUUUUUGUUUUUUCUUAGCUUUUUUUUUAACACUAAAUACAAGAAACAAGUAGAUCUUUAUUUGAUGCAUCGUAAAUCCGUAUGACGUCACGUGCAUGGUUGUUGGUAUUAUACGGAUUUGCUUUCCAGUUCGUAUUUAUUGUAUUUAAUCGAAGUUUCGGAAUUGAUAAAUUUAUCCAAAUAGCACUCUAACUAUCUGUAUGUGCCAGUUGUAUUUUAAGAUAUAUAUGUAACAACUAUAGCCAUUGAGCAUCAUUUAAUGUCCUUUUCUGUAUUCAGUCAUCUUAAUUAUUGUCUGACCGGCCGUCAGGUGGAGUUUUCGAAAGUCAAAGUUAAAAAAAAAU
rnacentral:lncRNA from 1 species